UUGUCAGCAACUCCUAUCCCUACCUCCUCGUGGUACUGGCCGGGGUACGAGUAACCUUAGGGAAGAUCGGGUAACCAACCCCCGGUGGGAACUUUGGUCGUAUGCUGACAGGGAAGG
rnacentral:ribozyme from 1 species